AGAGAACAAAGUCAAUAGUUGUGGAACUCCAUAAUGUCUACAAUGGACAUGACCGCUGUCGCGGCGCAACCACAGCAGCUUGAAGGUGUCUAAUUUGGCACGGUCUCCCUGCUACACCAUUAGAACUCUUGCCCACUGCACAUCGACCAGUGGUAGCGGUGGAAGGCUGCUUGCACCAGAGGGGCCAUGACACUUCCCAUGGCUGUUUCGUCACCGCAGCGGUUGCCCUGACCAUCAUGCUCCAUUCCCAUCCUACAGAUAAGGCAUG